rnacentral:rRNA from 1 species
AGUGAACGCUGGCGGCAGGCCUAACACAUGCAAGUCGAACGGCAGCACAGGAGAGCUUGCUCUCUGGGUGGCGAGUGGCGGACGGGUGAGGAAUACAUCGGAAUCUACCUUUUCGUGGGGGAGAACGUAGGGAAGCUUACGCUAAUACCGCAUACGACCUUCGGGUGAAAGCAGGGGACCUCCUGGCCUUGCGCGAUCAGAUGAGCCGAUGUCGGAUUAGCUAUUUGGUGAGGUAAAGGCUCACCAAGGCGACGAUCCGUAGCUGGUCUGAGAGGAUGAUCAGCCACACUGGAACUGAGACACGGUCCAGACUCCUACGGGAGGCAGCAGUGGGGAAUAUUGGACAAUGGGCGCAAGCCUGAUCCAGCCAUGCCGCGUGGGUGAAGAAGGCCUUCGGGUUGUAAAGCCCUUUUGUUGGGAAAGAAAAGCAGUCGAUUAAUACUCGAUUGUUCUGACGGUACCCAAAGAAUAAGCACCGGCUAACUUCGUGCCAGCCGCCGCAGUAAAAC